rnacentral:rRNA from 1 species
UACGUAGGGUCCAAGCGUUAAUCGGAAUUACUGGGCGUAAAGCGUGCGCAGGCGGUUUUGUAAGCCAGAUGUGAAAUCCCCGGGCUUAACCUGGGAAUGGCAUUUGGGACUGCAAGGCUAGAGUACGGCAGAGGAGACUAGAAUUCCUGGUGUAGCAGUGAAAUGCGUAGAUAUCAGGAGGAAUACCGAUGGCGAAGGCAGGUCUCUGGGUCGAUACUGACGCUCAUGCACGAAAGCGUGGGGAGCAAACAGGAUUAGAUACCCUGGUAGUCCACGCCCUAAACGAUGUCAACUGGUUGUUGGGGAAUUGAUUUCCUUAGUAACGAAGCUAACGCGUGAAGUUGACCGCCUGGGGAGUACGGUCGCAAGAUUAAA